rnacentral:rRNA from 1 species
AGUCUGCAACUCGACUCCAUGAAGUCGGAAUCGCUAGUAAUUCGAGAUCAGCAUGCUCGGGUGAAUGCGUUCCCGGGCCUUGUACACACCGCCCGUCACACCACGAAGUCGGUUUUACCCGAAGCCGGUGAGCUAACUCGCAAGAGAAGCAGCCGUCUACGGUAGGGCCGA